GACGAACGCUGGCGGCGUGCUUAACACAUGCAAGUCGAACGGAAAGGCCCCUUCGGGGGUGCUCGAGUGGCGAACGGGUGAGUAACACGUGGGUGAUCUGCCCUGCACUUUGGGAUAAGCCUGGGAAACUGGGUCUAAUACCGGAUAGGACUACGGCCUGCAUGGGUUGUGGUGGAAAGCUUUUGCGGUGUGGGAUGGGCCCGCGGCCUAUCAGCUUGUUGGUGGGGUGAUGGCCUACCAAGGCGUCGACGGGUAGCCGGCCUGAGAGGGUGUCCGGCCACACUGGGACUGAGAUACGGCCCAGACUCCUACGGGAGGCAGCAGUGGGGAAUAUUGCACAAUGGGCGCAAGCCUGAUGCAGCGACGCCGCGUGGGGGAAGACGGCCUUCGGGUUGUAAACCUCUUUCAGCACAGACGAAGCGCAAGUGACGGUAUGUGCAGAAGAAGCACCGGCCAACUACGUGCCAGCCGCCGCAGUAACAC
rnacentral:rRNA from 1 species